rnacentral:rRNA from 1 species
UACGUAGGGGCCGAGCGUUGUCCGGAGUUAUUGGGCGUAAAGCGCGCGCAGGCGGCCUCGCGCGCCCGACGUGAAAGCCCCCGGCUUAACCGGGGAGGGUCAUUGGGGACGGCGGGGCUUGAGGGCGGGAGAGGGUGGUGGAAUUCCCGGUGUAGUGGUGAAAUGCGUAGAGAUCGGGAGGAACACCCGUGGCGAAGGCGGCCACCUGGGCCGACCCUGACGCUGAGGCGCGAAGGCGUGGGGAGCGAACGGG